GUGGGGAAUUUUGGACAAUGGGCGCAAGCCUGAUCCAGCCAUUCCGCGUGCAGGAUGAAGGCCUUCGGGUUGUAAACUGCUUUUGUACGGAACGAAAAGCCUCUGGUUAAUACCCGGGGGUCAUGACGGUACCGUAAGAAUAAGCACCGGCUAACUACGUGCCAGCAGCCGCGGUAAUACGUAGGGUGCGAGCGUUAAUCGGAAUUACUGGGCGUAAAGCGUGCGCAGGCGGUGAUGUAAGACAGUUGUGAAAUCCCCGGGCUCAACCUGGGAACUGCAUCUGUGACUGCAUUGCUGGAGUGCGGCAGAGGGGGAUGGAAUUCCGCGUGUAGCAGUGAAAUGCGUAGAUAUGCGGAGGAACACCGAUGGCGAAGGCAAUCCCCUGGGCCUGCACUGACGCUCAUGCACGAAAGCGUGGGGAGCAAACAGGAUUAGAAACCCCGGUAGUCC
rnacentral:rRNA from 1 species